AUUGAACGCUGGCGGCAUGCUUUACACAUGCAAGUCGGACGAGUGGCGAACGGGUGAGUAAUAUAUCGGAACGUACCGAGUAAUGGGGGAUAACCAAUCGAAAGAUUGGCUAAUACCGCAUACUAUUCGAGCGGCCAAUAUCUGAUUAGCUAGUUGGUGGGGUAAAGGCCCACCAAGGAGACGAUCAGUAGCGGGUCUGAGAGGAGGACACGCCACACUGGGACUGAGACACGGCCCAGACUCCUACGGGAGGCAGCAGUGGGGAAUUUUGGACAAGGGGCGCAAGCCUGAUCCAGCCAUCCCGCGUGUCUGAAGAAGGCCUUCGGGUUGUAAAGUACUUUUGUUAGGGAAGCGGUACCUAAAGAAUAAGCACCGGCUAACUACGUGCCAGCAGCCGCGGUAAUAC
rnacentral:rRNA from 1 species